rnacentral:rRNA from 1 species
AAUAUUGGUCAAUGGAGGCAACUCUGAACCAGCAAAGUCGCUUGAUGGAUGUAGGUCUUAUGGAAUGUAAACUUCUUUUUCAAGGGAAUAAAUUGGGGGACGUAUCCUCCUUUGCAUGUUCCUUGCGACUAAUGAUCGGCUUACCCCGCGCCAGCAGCCGCGGUAAUACGGAGGAUCCGAGCGUUAUCCGGAUUUAUUGGGUUUAAAGGGUGCGCAGGCGGGAUGUUAAGUCGGCGGUGAAAUUUUGCAGCUCAACUGUAAAAGUGCCUUCGAUACUGGCUUUCUUGAGUGUGGAUGAAGUAGGCGGAAUUUGUGGUGUAGCGGUGAAAUGCUUAGAUAUCACGAGGAACUCCGAUUGCGCAGGCAGCUUACUAAACCACUACUGACGCUCAUGCACGAAGGCGUGGGGAUCAAACAGG